rnacentral:rRNA from 1 species
GAUGAACGCUGGCGGCGUGCCUAAUACAUGCAAGUCGAGCGAACAGAUCAGGAGCUUGCUCCUCUGACUUUAGCGGCGGACGGGAGAGUAACACGUGGAUAACCUACCUAUAAGACUGGGAUACCUUCGGGAAACCGGGGCUAAUACCGGAUAAUAUAUUGAACCGCAUGGUUCAAUAGUGAAAGACGGUUUUGCUUUCACUUAUAGAUUGAUCCGCGCCGCAUGAGCUAGUUGGUAAGGUAACGGCUUACCAAGGCAACGAGGCGUAGCCGACCUGAGAGGGUCGAUGCCUAGCCUGGAAGUGAGACACGGCCCAGACUCUGACGGGAAGAAACAGUAGGGAAUCUUACGCGAGGGGGGAAUGCGGGAUAGAGCAAAGUCGGGGGAGUGAUGAAGGUCUUAGGAUCGGAGAGCUCUGUAAGCAGGGAAGAACAAAUGUUCAAGUAACCAGGAAGGUCUUGACGGUACCGAAACAGAAAGCCACGGCUAACUACGUG